CCUUGUGGAGGACCGGACCCACCAGGGUUGACAACCUGGGGGAUGAACUGUGGGUAGGGGUGAAAGGCCAAUCAGACUCCGUGAUAGCUGGUUCUCCCCGAAAUGCAUUUGGGUGCAGCGUCGUGUGGUUCCUGGUGGGGGUAGAGCUACUGGAUGGCCGAUGGGCCCUGUGGGUUACUGACGUCAGCCAAACUCCGAAUGCCAUCAGGGUUGAGCGCGGCAGUGAGACCGCGGGGGAUAAGCUCCGUGGUCGAGAGGGAAACAGCCCGGACCGCCGGCUAAGGCCCCUAAGCGCGCGCUAAGUGGGAAAGGAUGUGGAGUCGCGGUGACAACCAGGAGGUUGGCUUAGAAGCAGCCAUCCUUGAAAGAGUGCGUAAUAGCUCACUGGUCGAGUGGUUCUGCGCCGACAAUGUAGCGGGGCUCAAGCGCGCCGCCGAAGCUGUGGCAGCAACGCGUUAUCGCCCGCCCCCCCUUGAUGGGGUGGUGGGCGCGUUGUUGGGUAGGGGAGCGUCCUGCGUGGGGUGAAGCCCGGGGGUGACCUCUGGUGGACCGCGUGGGAGUGAGAAUGCAGGCAUGAGUAACGAAUUCUGCGGUGGGAAUCCGCAGCGCCGAUUGACUAAGGGUUCCAGGGCCAGGUUUAUCCGCCCUGGGUUAGUCGGGUCCUAAGGCGAGGCCGACAGGCGUAGUCGAUGGUUGACCAGUUGAUAUUCUGGUACCGCGCGGUGACCGCCAGUGCUGAUACCGUUGUGCUAACCGCCCGCGCCGUCCUCCUCGUGCUUUCGGGCGCGGGGGCGGGGGGUGUCGCGGGGCCCCGGUGGUGGAGGCAAGCGUGUUAACAGGGGUGACGCAGGAAGGUAGCCGCAAUGCGCCGGUGGUUGUGCGUAUUCAAGGCUGUGGCCCGUCUCCUAGGUAAGUCCGGGGGGCUUUGUGGGUGAGGGCUGAGGAGGGACACACGCGUGUGUGGACUUGUGGUGAUCCUAUGCUGCCGAGAAAAACCCCGACGUGAGGGCGCCGCGCGCCCGUACCCUAAACCGACUCAGGUGGUCAGGUAGAGUAUACCGAGGCGUUCGAGUGAAUCGUGGUUAAGGAACUCGGCAAAAUUCCUCCGUAACUUCGGGAUAAGGAGGGCCCUUUGGGCUCGUCCCGCCGCGCGCGGGGUGGGGCCGGGGGGUCGCAGAGAAUAGGGAGAAGCGACUGUUUAUCAAAAACACAGGUGCGUGCGAAGCCGUAAGGCGAUGUAUACGCACUGACGCCUGCCCGGUGCUGGAAGGUUAAGAGGAACCGUUAACAUUCUUUAUGGGUGUGAAGCGGUGAAUUUAAGCCCCAGUAAACGGCGGUGGUAACUAUAACCAUCCUAAGGUAGCGAAAUUCCUUGUCGGGUAAGUUCCGACCUGCACGAAUGG
rnacentral:rRNA from 1 species